rnacentral:rRNA from 1 species
CGCUGGCGGCAGGCUUAACACAUGCAAGUCGAACGGUAGCAGGAAGAAAGCUUGCUUUCUUUGCUGACGAGUGGCGGACGGGUGAGUAAUGCUUGGGAAUCUGGCUUAUGGAGGGGGAUAACUGUGGGAAACUGCAGCUAAUACCGCGUAUUCUCUGAGGAGGAAAGGGUGGGACCUUAGGGCCACCUGCCAUAAGAUGAGCCCAAGUGGGAUUAGGUAGUUGGUGGGGUAAAGGCCUACCAAGCCUGCGAUCUCUAGCUGGUCUGAGAGGAUGACCAGCCACACUGGAACUGAGACACGGUCCAGACUCCUACGGGAGGCAGCAGUGGGGAAUAUUGCGCAAUGGGGGGAACCCUGACGCAGCCAUGCCGCGUGAAUGAAGAAGGCCUUCGGGUUGUAAAGUUCUUUCGGUAAUGAGGAAGGGAUGUUGUUAAAUAGAUAGCAUCAUUGACGUUAAUUACAAAAGAAGCACCGGCUAACUCCGUGCCAGCCGCCGCGGUAAU